GCGGGCGUAGCGUAAUGGUAGCGCGUCUGAUUUCGGCUCAGACGGUUAGGGGUUCGAAUCCCCUCGUCCGUA
rnacentral:tRNA from 1 species